rnacentral:rRNA from 1 species
GAUGAACGCUGGCGGCGUGCUUAACACAUGCAAGUCGAACGGUGAACGAGGGAGCUUGCUCCCUCCGGAUCAGUGGCGAACGGGUGAGUAACACGUGAGCAAUCUGCCCUGGACUCUGGGAUAAGCGUUGGAAACGACGUCUAAUACCGGAUACGAGGCGUGGGGGCAUCCCCAACGCCUGGAAAGAACUUCGGUCCAGGAUGAGCUCGCGGCCUAUCAGGUAGUUGGUGAGGUAACGGCUCACCAAGCCUACGACGGGUAGCCGGCCUGGGAGGGUGACCGGCCACACUGGGACUGAGACACGGCCCAGACUCCUACGGGAGGCAGCAGUGGGGAAUAUUGCACAAUGGGCGCAAGCCUGAUGCAGCAACGCCGCGUGAGGGACGACGGCCUUCGGGUUGUAAACCUCUUUUAGCAGGGAAGAAGCGAAAGUGACGGUACCUGCAGAAAAAGCACCGGCUAACUACGUGCCAGCCGCCGCUGUAACAC